GAUGAACGCUGGCGGCGUGCCUAAUACAUGCAAGUCGAGCGAACGGACGAGAAGCUUGCUUCUCUGAUGUUAGCGGCGGACGGGUGAGUAACACGUGGAUAACCUACCUAUAAGACUGGGAUAACUUCGGGAAACCGGAGCUAAUACCGGAUAAUAUUUUGAACCGCAUGGCUCAAAAGUGAAAGACGGUCUUGCUGUCACUUAUAGAUGGAUCCGCGCUGCAUUAGCUAGUUGGUAAGGUAACGGCUUACCAAGGCAACGAUGCAUAGCCGACCUGAGAGGGUGAUCGGCCACACUGGAACUGAGACACGGUCCAGACUCCUACGGGAGGCAGCAGUAGGGAAUCUUCCGCAAUGGGCGAAAGCCUGACGGAGCAACGCCGCGUGAGUGAUGAAGGUCUUCGGAUCGUAAAACUCCGUUAUUAGGGAAGAACAUAUGUGUAAGUAACUGUGCACAUCUUGACGGUACCUAAUCAGAAAGCCACGGCUAACUACGUG
rnacentral:rRNA from 1 species